rnacentral:rRNA from 1 species
UACCAGCACCCCGAGUGGUCGGGACGUUAUUGGGCCUAAAGCAUCCGUAGCCGGUUCUACAAGUCUUCCGUUAAAUCCAACUGCUUAACAGGUGGGCUGCGGAAGAUACUAUAGAGCUAGGAGGCGGGAGAGGCAAGCGGUACUCGAUGGGGUAGGGGUAAAAUCCGUUGAUCCAUUGAAGACCACCAGUGGCGAAGGCGGCUUGCCAGAACGCGCUCGACGGUGAGGGAUGAAAGCUGGGGGAGCAAACCGG